CUCUCCUUCUAGGAGGGGAUUCUUUGAAGGAGGUGAAACAGUUCCUCAAGGAAGAUGGUGAACUUGUUUCUCAUGUCCUCCAGAACAAAUGACCAGAAAGUAAAUGAACUGAGACGGUAGGAAUUUACUAUCAUCCAGUUCUGGAGGUCAGGGGCAUGGGAUGCAUCUUCCUGGGAUGACAUCCAGAUGUGAGCCGUGCUGUGUUCCUUCAGGGGGCUCCGAAGGAGAAUGUAGAUGUAAUUCAGUGUAGAUGUAGCCAACGGUUUUAUCAGACAAAAAACACAGAGCCGAUUCAGAGAAGAAAGCCAAGAGGUCAGAGCCAAGAGCCUCACCCUUCCUGAUUCAGGGAUCCUCCUCAGCCAAGAGAGCUCUCCGAAAGAGAGGAGCCCUCCUUCCUGUGUGUCUGUCUCUAUAGUCUCUCUGUUCUGGCUUCUGAUUGGUUGUAAACACAAUCAUGUGACUGCCUCGUCACUGCCUGUAUGUACCGCCCUCCAGGUCCUUAAAGGCGUACACCACCACUGCCACGCACUUGCUAUGGCUCUAAUAGCUCUGACCCCAGGCAACUUUAUUUAUUAACAUAAAAUACCACCACAGGAGAAGCUCGCUUGCUGUCUUGUUUUUUAGAGGCCACCUUCAUCCUUCGGCUCCUAGCCCUCUUAUUUCCUCUUCAAAGCCAGCACUUCAGAUUUAUCUUUGAUUUCUGACAUAGCCCUGGUAGUCUCUUCUCCCUUCUGAGGGUUCUGAUAAUGACGACGAUGGGCUGAACCUGGUCCAUCCAAAUAACCUCCUCUUCUCAAAGUUAACAGAAAGGCAGCCGGAAUUCUACCCACAACUUUAGUUCUCCCUUGAUGCAUAACAUACUCACAGGCUCUGAGAGAAGGGACAUGUGUACUUUUUGGUGGGAAGCAUUCUUUUACUACGAGGGAGGCUCCCAAUGGUCAUUGUAGUGUCGGCACCCUUGUUCGAGAUCAAUACUUGAGGAAACUUGACCUCAGACAGUUUAUGUGAAUUCCAACUGUUGGCUCCACGGGAGAAAAAAUUCCCCUGAGCCCUGGGCCAUUGGUCACUGGAGCAGCAAGCAAAAUUCUGUUGGAGGCUUGGGGCCUUUCCCUCCAGUUCCCUUUGCUGUGCCUGGCCUCUUUUUUUUUUUCUUUCUUGAGGGAUGAUGCCCCUCCAUGGACUCAGAAUGGACUUGAUCCCGUCACGAGAGGCUCAUUGCUUGAACAAGAGCAUGAACUUUUAGAAUUGCACCUUCUAAGUGCCCACUUGGGGACGUUGAACUUUAGUGAUCAAGGACUCCAAAAGUCUGAAAUCCUGGAAGUUCCCCUUAGGAACUCUACGAAGAAGGCCUAAAGAGUGAGCACCCACAACAACCUUUUCUGCCUUAGUGGCUGCUGUAGAUUUCACUCUAUGGUUAUCCCGUCGGAUGAGGCUGGCACCUAGAAUUAAAGAGGACUUUAGCCACUGGGUAGUCACAGUGAUGGGGCCGGUGACUCCGACAUACAGUUCCACUCUGAAGGCAGAAGGUGGGCAAUAAAAGACGUUUUCAGUCAAGGUCAAUGCUGGAGGGGAAGACACAAGACUUGGUGCAUGAUGUUUUCUCUUGGAAAGAGCAAACCAUGAUCUGGGGGAGCACAUUCCUAGAGGUGAUGUCUGGAUCUCACUUACAAAGUUAUCACCCCCCCCCCAGUUGGCCGAUUCUGUCAGCUGCCUAGCAGUUCACCCUACCCUCUGCACCUAAAGAUAGAAGCUGGCCAAGGACAGGAUCUAAGGCCUUUUUACUAGAGAAGUAAAUUCUUAGAACUCCAAGAUGAAUCCAGUCUGUGAAGAAAGACAGGGCCCUGAGGAGAGACCUUGGGGGCCACUGAGAAAGGCGGCCCUGAUUCCUGGAGGAGCACCAGGAAGAGACCUCGGUACAUUGUUGAGUUAUGGAAAAGUCACUUUGGCGUAGUACCACAGUUUCCUUUCAUCCCUAGCAACCAACAGGUGAAAAACCCUGUCCUCAAAGACGAACAAAAGUGGAGCAAGACUCCUGUAUCCAGUUGUAGCUAGAAGGCAGGUCCUGUGAGGAAGCAUCAGUUCCAAGGCACACCAGUAUCUUCCCGGGUUCCUGCUUCUCCAUAGCCAUUUCCAAGGAGGCUUCCCCAGGAAUCUGACUAAGCUAGAGAGGGCGAAAUGACCUAUGAAGGCUCUUUCUUCUCCCCUUGUGGCCUCAGACAGCUUCUAAGAUGUGCAGACUGGAUGAUUAAGAAAACUUGGCAAUGAUGGAGACAGAGCAAGAGCACAGCCAGGAACAGGAUGGUACAUGUUGAGGAUGGAUGAUUAUGGAAAGAUGUUAGAAGACAGCACAAAGGGAUGGGACCUUCCGGAGUCAUUGACCUGUACCUUGUGCUCAUCCCUGGCCUCCCCCCUUUCCAAUGGGAUAGGCUCAGCAAAUGCCUGGUUUGUCAGUAUAUUUGUCAAAUUAUUUGUGGUUAUUUCUAAGUCCACAGCCUGUGAAACAUGAUUGGAAAGGACCCACAGUAGGGAGUUCACAGUGUCUUUCCCACUGGUACUCUGUUUUUUUCUCGAGCUGGGAAAGUGACAUUAAAAGAAUAAUAAGACAUAAUAAGACAUGAGAACAAAGUGUCCUGAGGCAUAUGUAUGAAAAUGCCACAAUGAAACCUGCUACUUUGUGUUUUAACCCCCAAAUGAAGAAAAAUGUAGUAAUGAAAUAAAUCAAGCUGAAAUGAA